rnacentral:rRNA from 1 species
CCUACGGGUGGCAGCAGUGGGGAAUAUUGGACAAUGGGGGCAACCCUGAUCCAGCCAUGCCGCGUGUGUGAAGAAGGCCCUCGGGUUGUAAAGCACUUUCAGUGAGGAAGAACGCCUGGUGGUUAAUACCCAUCAGGAAAGACAUCACUCACAGAAGAAGCACCGGCUAACUCCGUGCCAGCAGCCGCGGUAAUACGGAGGGUGCGAGCGUUAAUCGGAAUUACUGGGCGUAAAGCGCGCGUAGGUGGCUUGAUAAGCCGGUUGUGAAAGCCCCGGGCUCAACCUGGGAACGGCAUCCGGAACUGUCGAGCUAGAGUGCAGGAGAGGAAGGUAGAAUUCCCGGUGUAGCGGUGAAAUGCGUAGAGAUCGGGAGGAAUACCAGUGGCGAAGGCGGCCUUCUGGACUGACACUGACACUGAGGUGCGAAAGCGUGGGUAGCAAACAGGAUUAGAUACCCAGGUAGUC